GGAGAGGUGCUCCAGCCCUUGAUCAUCCUCAUGGCCCUCCUCUGCACUUGCUCCAAUGUGUCCAUGUCCUUCUUGCUGAACACAGGGCUCCAGGUGGGGUGUCAUGAAAGCAGAGCAGAGGGGGGAGAACCACCUCCCUCACUCACCCUGCUAGCCACACUGCUUUUGACGCAGUCCAAGACUUCCAAGGCUUUAUUUAUUCAUGAAAAUAUCCAUCAGGAAGGUGUUCUGGACACAGGGUGUUGUCCUUUAAAUCCUCCUCUCUGGUGUUUGUUUGCUCCAAAAGCCAUAUUUGCUCCAAAAACCCAUACCAGCCCCAUAAGGGUUAACCCAAAGGCUGUGUACUUAUGUAACUACUGGAACUGAAACAGCCCCACCAGGAAAGUGCUUUACAGCAGAAUACGUUUGACUUUGGCAUGGGAAAAUGAUACCAACAGCCACUUGUAGGCUCGUACUUCUGCAUCAUACAACAGGAAGUGGUAUAUGCUGCUCUGACGAUACUGGUCUACCACACCAGUUCCUCUACAGAAGGGUCACAGCUGAGCAGGAAGCAUAGGCCUAGCAGCCCCUAUCCAGGUUCUCCCUCAGCUCUGCACAACAGUAAGGCAUCAGGACACACCGAGCAGGGCUGAGAUGACAGCAGCACUUGGGGUACACUGCUGCUGCCACCCCCUGCUGUGAUAGAAGUGGGGCACUGAGGCAGAACCGACUGCAAGGCGGCAGCAGAGCAGAGGAAGAAUGACCUAAGAUGAGGUAUGGUGUAAUUACAAUUAAUCCCUCCUGGCAUAGCCAUACUCUGUUCAGACGUCACUGGCAGGAGUUCAGGUUUGCAUCUAGAGCUCAUUUUGCUGACAAUGGCUACAGUAAGCCGUACAAGCUGAAACACAGCUUUGGGACCAUAAACAGUGGCCGAGGUUGGACAACUGCACUGACGUACUCUCAUGGCACAGUAACAUACGUACCUCCUCCUCCAGAGACAGAGACCAUGUGAAGAAGGGAUGAUGAGCUCUGAUCUCAGGACCAAAGGCUUCACUUGAACAGAGAACAUGUUUCAGCAAUUUGGACUUCUAACUAUUCAAUGGGUGGGAGCGCUUCAGAGAGAAGAUACUGACGAGCCUGUUUAAGCAGGUGGACAGAGAGAAGCUGUGGAAUAAUACUGAAGUGCCCAGCUAAUAGAAGUCAGUCUUUUCAUAAGACAUCCCAUACUGACCAGUGCUGGAGAAGGGGAAUUGCCAUGCUGAAACACACCCGAAAACGCAUCAACUCCCAUGACUUUUGUGAAGGUGCCCUGGGCAGGUUGGGUGGAGGCCUUGGGGAAGGCUGGGCAAUCAGGGGUUAAUUCCCUAAGGGCCAUGAUAACUAAAGGAGAUGAAUAAAUAAAUAAAUAAAUAAGAAAAAAUAAAAUGAUUCUGAGUUGCUAAGCAUUUUUUCUAUGACCAAAUCAAAUGCAGUCUCCCAUGUCACCCUCAAAAAUAAAUGCUCAGGAAGUUCUGUGGACAAUACUUGCGUCUGUUCUGAGGUAUGGAAGUGCCAGAGCAAGAAAAGCAGACAGACUCAACUUCUGCUGCUGGCUCUGUUAAUUACACACAGGCCAUUUGCCCCCAGUUUUACCAUCUUUCAAUGGGGAACAACAAAACAGACCACUGCUGUAAGCAACAGGCAUUACACAUGGCCAGCAGAAAUGGGAUUAUUUUGUGCCAGGCAGUUCUAGAACUGUUAAGAAUUGGGGUUUUGAGGGUUGUUUUGAUUGGUUUUAAUAUAUGCUAUAUACUGGGGCUAUGUUUUCUACCUAAAUCAUAUCCAGACUCCAUUAGUUACCAAAUGUGCAAACCAUACAAUUCCUGGGAAACAAAAAAAUACUCAAUGCAUCUCUACUCCUUCAAGAUUAUGUACUAUAGCUUGUCUAGAUACCAUUGUUAAGGCCAAUGUGACAAGCGUAUCUAAAGCUAGAUCUGUGCAAGCAGUACCCCUAACAGAGAAAGAUUAAAAGGGAAAAUGCAGGCAAGGUGGUCAAAGUACACAAUAGAUUGUUUUGUUGUGCUGUUUUUUGUUUUUCUCUAUUAGGUAACUCCACAAUUUAGCACAAUGAUAUCCUCCCACAUACUGAGUGCUGUUAUCUUAGGACUUCAGCAGCAAACAAAGAAAAUCUAUGCUCUACUGAUUUUAGAUACAUUAAUUAUAGAUUAUCAUAGGUUCUACAUGGGUCAUAAGAACAAAUUGAUCACUGUUCCAAGAAUUUAACAAUCAAACUCAUUUAAACAUCAAACACAAUGAAAAAUAGAAAAAAAUAAUCAUGAAGCAUUUCUGACAUCUGUGGCUGAUGAGAUAAUUACAGGCAGUUUUUCUAGAGAAUUGAAAAAAAAAAAAAAGAAAGUGAAAUUUGAAGAGAGACCGAAGUGUCCCAUUUCAGUGUGAGUGUUACUCACAGACAUUUGGCAUGAAGGGGAAAAAAGAGAUAUGAGAAGGAAAAUGGAAAAGGUCUGUUCUAGUUUCACUGAUGUUAGUAAGAAUCUCCCCAUUGUCUCAACAGGACAAAUAUGACCAAAUACAUCAGUUAACAAGAAGUCCUGGAAAGAGUAAGGAGAGGAUGAAGGAUAUAAAGAAUGAGAACAGAUUGGCCUGGAAAUGCCAUGAUGUCAGGAUAAACUUGAACUUCACAAGAAGUGAACUGAUUUUAGGGAGGGUCUAAUAAGUCACAGCCAAAAACAUGAUCACUCACUUAUUUUGUAGCUUUUCUUUAAAUAAAAUCAUCAGUGAUGUGAGAGACAGUAGUGACUAUUAUCCUCCUGGAAAGGUCUAAACUCCACUUGUCCUGAAUACUUUCACCUAUGAUUGACUUGGAACUUUGUAAUGAAUACUAGAAGCAUUAAUCCUCAUUGCAAGUGUGCUAUCAGGAUAUUAAGGGGUUGGCUUGCAUGGAUAUUUGGCCAUUGUCUGCUAGGGAGGCCGGGAGAUUGUCAGAUAGUGAUUAAAUCUGUCUGGCUGUUCUGACAUUUUACUUAGUGUCCACCAAGUCCUUUAAUUUCUGUAAGUGUACGUUAGAGCUUGAGCUGCUGAGGGAAGUGGGAGAGGAAAAGAUUAGGUCCUAGCACCUUUUCAUAUCAAGUUGGAGGUUUUUGUUUAAAAAUCAAGCUUGAACAGUUCCCUAGCAUGGGUAAAAGUCCUGUGUAAAAGACCAUGUCACUCUCUGCCCAGAUGGCCAGAAGCCAUCAUUUCCACAAGAAACAAAAGCAGCUAAAAGCUUUAAAUCCUAUCCCAUUGUAGGAACACAAUUGAAUUCUCUUGCCAACAUGAGGACAGAAUAUACAUAGUCACUGCAUAGGACUGUCAGUCUUUGUGGGAAUUACUGAAGUCUAGCUGCAAGAUUUCCAUAUACAGACAUUUCCUGCCAUGAGAAUGUUACAGAACUAAGCCAGCAUCCAAUAUAAUCUAAAGAACAAAAAGAAAGCCUCUAAAAUAGCAAGGAAUAAGAAAAAAUUAUACACAAAGAACACUUCAUACUUUCAAUACAGGCAUUUAAAGUAGAAGAUAUCAAGGUCAUAUCCUGCAGCUUUUAUUCAGGCACAUCAAUAGGAGGGGGUUGUUAAGGAAAAGCCUGAGGCAGUAUCUGACCUUUUCCAUUUUUUUUCCUUUGGAUAAGAUGGUUACAAGAUGCUGCCCAAGAACAGAACUACAGGACAUGCCAAACUCAAAUGCACAUCUGCAACUGAGUAGUAUCCACGUUUCAAAACAUGGCCCCAAAGAAGCUCUACAAAUAUCAGUACGAGGAACAAAAAUACCUGGGUCUCCAAACUGUUAAUGCAAUCUAAUGUUGCUAUAAGCGAAGCAAAAGGAGUUUAAUCAAUCAGCCAUUACAUCAUGUUUAAAGUGAACACAGAAAUCCCCAUGGAAGUCUGACAGCCUCCCAGCCCAGCAAACUCACUUUGUGGCUAAAAGUGAACUAACACAGAUAAUAUGCACUGAAGCAACCCCUGCCCACCCACUUCCCAAGAAAUCUUUUUUCAGCAUAAAGAGGGGAAAGAGGUAUAGUCUUUGACUGAACUGGCUGAAAUAUCCAACUCAUCCCUCUGACCUGGAAUCCAGCUGCCCAACAUGAGGGCAGAUACCAGAAAAUUUCCCAAGAGUCAUGAUGGAGAGCAGCUCCCUCUUCCACAAGCAGUGUAUGUGAAGUACCACCCUUGUGUCCCCACGUACACAGACACCUGAGAGAAAAGUAGCUGCCAUUCAUGUCAGCUCUCCUCCCACGUUGCCUCAGCUCAAUCCACUACAAAGAAAGGUAGGAAUUAUUAGACCUAUGGUGUUCUUCCACUAAUACUGUAACACCUCAGAGCUGUUCUGUACGCUCCCUGCAGCUCACUAGUAUCAUUAUUAACCAUUAGUUCAUAAUACCGGUUCCAGUGCUAUCAGAACAGCUCUUAACAGUCAUAAAACAUCCACCUGGAAGCAUUCACAUGCCACUGCACACAGUAUACAAUAAUACAUGUUUUGUCUGACCACUAAUUUGCUUGAAGAAAUGAAUUUUUGCUUUUUUUUUCAGUGCAGGCUUGGAACAACUUAAUUUUUAUGGAAUUUUCCACACCAAGUGUUCAGCUUCUUGUGGAAGAAAGCAGCUCUGAAAGACAUACUAAAACAACCAGGGACGUGACAUGUAGGAGGGAAAUAGGAAUUCCUCCAUUUAUGUCUGCUGGGCUGGGCUUGGUGCCCCCCUUUAAGAGGGGCACAGGCACCUCAUGCAGAGCCUGUGGUUUACACGCGUGUAACAUCUCCCUCUACUGGCUCAAACCGUGGGAAUACUCCAGUUCCCAAGCAGAAAAACCUUCUCUGGAGUAAGAAUCUCGAGUUUAGGUCCACCCUUUUGUUCUUCCACGUAUUUGCAAUCUCUCUCCAUGACCCUAAAGCAGACAAGAUCUGUGAGAUGGAGCAGGUGAUGAAGAACUGGGCAUUAGUUUAG